UUUAUGAGAGAGUACCUGUCGGAUGCGAACGUGUGGUUUCUGGAGCUAGCCGGUGAAUCAGCUCUUCAAUUUAAAGGGUAUGCAGAAGACUUAGAAUAGUGAAAAAAGUGUGUGAUUACAGACUUGUGUGUGAGGUUUUGAUUGUGGCGCAGUCAGUUGUUUGCCGAGAAGCCUUGAAAACUGUGUAUUGCCCCCUUAAGAGCAAAAUUUGAUUUUUUGUGUGUGAUUACAGACUUGUGUGUGAGGUUUUGAUUGUGGCGCAGUCAGUUGUUUGCCGAGAAGCCUUGAAAACUGUGUAUUGCCCCCUUUAAACAGGAAGCAGAUUGCUGAGACUGAUUUA